UGGGGAAUUUUGGACAAUGGGGGAAACCCUGAUCCAGCCAUCCCGCGUGUGCGAUGAAGGCCUUCGGGUUGUAAAGCACUUUUGGCAGGAAAGAAACGUCAUGGGUUAAUACCCCGUGAAACUGACGGUACCUGCAGACUAAGCACCGGCUAACUACGUGCCAGCAGCCGCGGUAAUACGUAGGGUGCAAGCGUUAAUCGGAAUUACUGGGCGUAAAGCGUGCGCAGGCGGUUCGGAAAGAAAGAUGUGAAAUCCCAGAGCUCAACUUUGGAACUGCAUUUUUAACUACCGGGCUAGAGUGUGUCAGAGGGAGGUGGAAUUCCGCGUGUAGCAGUGAAAUGCGUAGAUAUGCGGAGGAACACCGAUGGUGAAGGCAGCCUCCUGGGAUAACACUGACGCUCAUGCACGAAAGCGUGGGGAGCAAACAGG
rnacentral:rRNA from 1 species